rnacentral:misc_RNA from 1 species
AAAAAAACAAAGUUGAUCUCGCAGUUUGAGUAUUCUUCUGCAACCUCGAAAGGGGAAGGUGGAGAAAUGGCGGUGAGAGGGAAAGCAAUGGUGACGCUGCCGACGUUGGUGCGAGCUAUGAGGAGGAGAACCUCAAAUCAUAUGCCUUCGAAUCAACCGUUGCCUUCACUGAGACGAGCAUUCUCGCUAUACGAUCAAAUCAAUCUCAUCGAUAACGUCCCUGAAGAUCAAAUACGCUUCAAACAGGUUACUGAUACUGGUUUCGGAGUUAAAGGGGUACAUUAUGAAGGUAGCUUGCUUUGUGUUGGGAACUUGCUAAUGUCUUGGCAUCCCAAAAAACUUUCGGAGGUUACUUCAGAAAGCUUAUCUAUCUUCCAGACAGUGCGACCAGUUCCAGAGAUUCUUCUUCUUGGCUGUGGGAAGUACAUUCAACCGGUAAAUCCUGAGCUACGUGCCUUUAUUCGUUCUACUGGAAUGAAAUUGGAAGCAGUUGAUUCUAGAAAUGCUGCAUCAACUUACAAUAUUCUAAACGAAGAAGGUAGGAUUGUGGCUGCUGCCCUUCUCCCAUAUGGAGUAGAGUCAUAAGCCUCUCAUGUACAUGGUUUUUCUUUGACGAGUGAAUAUCUGAUUAAUCAUCCAAGCCAAUCACUUUGUCCCGAGUUUGACGUGACCAUGUUUAAGAUUUGAUGAAAAUGAGAUAAUAACAUUACAUGUUAAUGGUGUGUUAGAAGCUUCUGGGUAUUCCUGGACCAACUAUCUUUAGGAGAUUGUACUUCAAAUAACAUAAACACAGGAAAAGAACUGUUGUUUACCCUUAGUAGAAGCUUGAGGUUCA